UACGAAGGGUGCAAGCGUUACUCGGAAUUACUGGGCGUAAAGCGUGCGUAGGUGGUGAGUUAAGUCUGUCGUGAAAGCCCCGGGCUCAACCUGGGAAUGGCGAUGGAUACUGGCUCGCUAGAGUGCGGUAGAGGGUGGUGGAAUUCCCGGUGUAGCAGUGAAAUGCGUAGAGAUCGGGAGGAACAUCAGUUGCGAAGGCGGCCACCUGGACCAGCACUGACACUGAGGCGCGGAAAGCGUGGGGAGCAAACAGG
rnacentral:rRNA from 1 species